rnacentral:rRNA from 1 species
GAUGAACGCUGGCGGCGUGCCUAAUACAUGCAAGUCGAGCGAACAGACGAGGAGCUUGCUCCUCUGACGUUAGCGGCGGACGGGUGAGUAACACGUGGAUAACCUACCUAUAAGACUGGGAUAACUUCGGGAAACCGGAGCUAAUACCGGAUAAUAUAUUGAACCGCAUGGUUCAAUAGUGAAAGACGGUUUUGCUGUCACUUAUAGAUGGAUCCGCGCCGCAUUAGCUAGUAGGUAAGGAAACGGCUUACCAAGGCAACGAUGCGUAGCCGACCUGAGAGGUUGAUCGGCCACACUGGAACUGAGACACGGUCCAUACUCCUACGGGAGGCAGCAGUAGGGAAUCUUCCGCAAUGGGCGAAAGCUUGACGGAGCAACGCCGCGUGAGUGAUGAAGGUCUUCGGAUCGUAAAACUCUGUUAUUAGUUAAGAACAAAUGUGUAAGUAACUAUGCACGUCUUGACGGUACCUAAUCAGAAAGCCACGGCUAACUACGUG